rnacentral:rRNA from 1 species
GCUAGUUGGUAGGGUAACGGCCUACCAAGGCAGAGACGGGUAGGGGGCGUGAGAGCGCGGACCCCCACACUGGCACUGCGACACGGGCCAGACUCCUACGGGAGGCAGCAGUAAGGAAUAUUGCGCAAUGGACGAAAGUCAGACGCAGCGACGCCGCGUGGGCGAUGAAGGCCUUCGGGUUGUAAAGCCCUUUUAUGGGGGAAGAGAAAAAGGACGGUACCCCAUGAAUAAGUCCCGGCUAACUACGUGCCAGCAGCCGCGGUAAAACGUAGGGGACAAGCGUUAUCCGGAUUCACUGGGCGUAAAGAGCGUUGAGGCGGUUCCGUAAGUUGGGCGUGAAAGCUCCGGGCUUAACCCGGAGAUGUCGUUCAAUACUGCGGGGCUUGAGGACAGCAGAGGAAGGUGGAAUUCCCGGUGUAGUGGUGAAAUGCGUAGAUAUCGGGAGGAACACCCGUGGCGAAGGCGGCCUUCUGGGCUGUUCCUGACGCUGAAGGCGAAAGCUAGGGGAGCGAACGGGAUUAGAUACCCCGGUAGUCCUAGCUGUAAACGAUGGAUGCUGGGUGUGGGGGGUGUAAAUUCCCUCUGUGCCGAAGCAAACGCGUUAAGCAUCCCGCCUGGGGACUACGGCCGCAAGGCUAAAACUCAAACGAAUUGACGGGGGCCCGCACAAGCAGCGGAGCGUGUGGUUUAAUUCGAUGCUACACGAAGAACCUUACCUGGGUUUGACAUGCACGUGGUAGGGAACCGAAAGGGGACCGACCUUCGGGAGCGUGCACAGGUGCUGCAUGGCUGUCGUCAGCUCGUGCCGUGAGGUGUCGGGUUAAGUCCCGUAACGAGCGCAACCCUUGCCCUUAGUUACAAGUGUCUAAGGGGACUGCCCGGGACAACUGGGCGGAAGGUGGGGAUGACGUCAAGUCAGCAUGGCCUUUAUAUCCAGGGCUACACACACGCUACAAUGGCCAGUACAAUAGGUAGCCAAGUCGUGAGACGGAGCCAAUCCU